rnacentral:ncRNA from 2 species
AGAGUAAGAUACCCGGCGUGAAGUGCCGGCGGGACGGGGAGUUGCCUGCCGGACGAAGGUUUUUCCGCGGUCGGGUGUCUGCAUCCCGCU